rnacentral:lncRNA from 1 species
AAAAUAUAGAACAAGGCCUUUUACAAGGGAAAAUAUGAGGAAAAUAGAAAUUGUUUGAUUUACGCCAUGAAAACCAAGUCUUCCAGUGGCAAGUAUUAAAGGCAUAUCAAGACGAGUUAAUGUAUGUCUGUUUAGUGCUAGGACGACACACUGAGCUGCAAUAUCAAUUUGCCAUUUCACAUUGUUAAGUCCACAGGAAACCACAUCAACCUGCCUGGGCAAAUUGUUCUGACUCAAACA